GACGUAGGGCGCGAGCGUUGUCCGGAUUUAUUGGGCGUAAAGAGCUCGUAGGCGGCUUGUCGCGUCGUCCGUGAAAACCUGCAGCUCAACUGCAGGCUUGCGGUCGAUACGGGCAGGCUAGAGUUCGGUAGGGGAGACUGGAAUUCCUGGUGUAGCGGUGAAAUGCGCAGAUAUCAGGAGGAACACCGGUGGCGAAGGCGGGUCUCUGGGUCGAUAUUGACGCUGAGGAGCGAAAGCGUGGGGAGCGAACAGG
rnacentral:rRNA from 1 species